GACACUACUGCCUCUUCACAACACUGCAGAGUUAUUAAUAUUUUUUUAAAGCUCAGUCAGAUCAUGUCACUGUUCUGUUCGAAACCUCCCAGUGGCUUUCUCUUUCUCCCAGAUUAAAAGCCUGAGAAAGGAAGAGGCAGGCCCUGACAUCUGAGAGCUGGUCUGACACAGCUAGACUUCAGGGUUGUUAGAAGCUGGCCUGAUGCUCACAGCUUGGCCCAGUUAUUCUUCUGUGGGACAUAAUCUCACAGAACACCAACAUGAGACAAGGUCAGUCAGACUAUAAAAAAGGGACACAACAACAAGGCCAUUUCAAAAUUGUGUCUAAGCAGAGACAAGAGAGCAAGGUCACUGUGCAAGCCAUGAAAUACCAAACGUCCUUCUCUGCUAUUAUGAGUGACUGCUGCUUCUUUACUAGGUGUGUUCCUGAUGGUCUCUGGCUGGAGGGCAGGGACAGGCCAGAGUCCUUACAAUUGUCUACAAAGUCCCACAGUGGUUCUUGGACUUCAUCACCCAUCAGAAUCAUCUGGAAGAAUUGUUAAAAGAGAAUUGCUGGUCCCCAACCCCAGAGCCUGUGAUUGAAUAAAGCUGGGGUUGAGGUCUUAGCAUCUGCAUUUCUAACAACUCCCAGCACCUGAGGCUGCAGAUCUGGGGCUCACACUAGAAGACUCACUUCUCUAAACCACUUGUUCCCCCGUCUUAUUUCCCUGACUUAGCCUCCUUGUCUCCACUCCCAUCUUACUUCAUUCUACUCCAGCCACACUGGCCUCCUUGCUGUGUUGAGCCUCCCUGGGCACAUGCCUUAGGCUACUGCUUUGUCUGCACUCGGAUUCGUAACACUUACUCCCUCACCCCUCAGUGAGACCUACCCCAAUCUCCCUACCCUUUUCAGAAUUUAUUCUCCACAACACGUAAUCAACCUUCUGACAUGCUGAAUAAUUUACUUAUUACAUUUAUUGUUUUGCUCUCUCUCUGCUAAUAAAGGAAUGACACCCUUAAGACAUCAGCUAUCUGAGUGUAUUUUGUUCACGGCUGUAUCCUGAGACCUGGAAAAAUAGCUGGCAAGUAGUAGAUGCUCAACAAAAACUUUCUGAAUGAAUGUUCCUUCCAGCUUUUCAGCUUCUUCUCCUGAGUCAGGGCAGCACUCCCUUCAGAUCUUCCUAUAAAUACAAUCUCUCUCCUAUAUGUCCAACCUCUUGACAAUUACAAUAUCCAGCUCCUGGGACUUUUCGCUUCAGUGGCUCAGGCCAGGGAUACAGGGCAGGUAAGUCAGCCAUGGGCCAAGGAGAUCAAACAACGCCAGAAAAUUACUGUAUCCUGCAUCUCUUCUUCACCCACCUUCUCCAGAUGACCUUAUCCACCCAUCUCCCUCCUCUCUUGUUUUCCAACUAUUUGUUCACCUGGAUUUCUCCUCUCUUUGACCACCAACAUUGUUAUGGCACCCCUAAAAAAAAUAAAAAAAGCAACCACUCUCCCCGUGCUAAGCCACCCUCAUGCUGGGGCUGUCCUAUCUCCGCUUCUCCGGCAAGGCUCCUCCUGACUUUGUUUUUCCUUUCUACUCCCUGAAAUUUUGCUUCUGAAGUUCCAUUACCGCCUCCUUCCUAAAUUCAACUGCAAUUUUCGGUCUUGCUCUUUCCUGAUACACUGUGGAAUUUAAUACAUCUGUCUGGAAACUCUUCAAGAACACCGCGUGUUGCCUCUACCUCCUUUAGUGCUUCUACUCCGGUCCUUCCUAGUCUUCUCUUCAUAAGUGUCCCCAAGUUUCCUUCCAGGAAGAUGGGUCGUGGUUUCCUUGACGCCAAUGCGUUUCUGGCCGUGCCCUCGUCACUUGCCCACUCCGG
rnacentral:lncRNA from 10 species